rnacentral:lncRNA from 1 species
CGUCUCUUUUCGAAUUCGACUUCUGUUUUGCCUUUUUGUUCCAGUCUCUGGCUGUCUCCAUAGGGCUGAAUAUUGGUUUGGAGGGAACUGCUCUCUGCGGUCCAGUCUACACAGCAGCUUCCGAAUGCAUCGACACUCUGAGCAGGUUCGGUGUGCAGGAGGCAGGCGGAUGCAGCAGAUUGGUAGAUCUUUGCAUAAAAAUGUGAAGAGUUCAGCUGGGAAAUGGGCUUCAUGCUGGGAGUCUUGCCCUUGGCGACUGCCGGCUGAUGCUGAAACUGGGGCCUUUGCAUUGACGUGCAGUUCAAUAAUUAAACAACUGCAACAGCAAACAGGAAAAGGGUGGAAAAAGAUGGAGAGCUGUCUAAAACUAGAAAAUCUGCAUUUACCACAGACCAUCACCCAUCUGUUUAGCAGGC